UAAAGGAAUUCCCCAAAUUAACAAUUCCCUGGAUGAAUUCCCCAAAGGAACCAGGCCAGGCUAACUGGGGGCUCAGCACCUCGUUCAUUUAGGGAAUGUUCAGGGUUUUCCAGGAGCAUCCAGAGGCUUUGGAUCAACAGCAGGAAUGAGGAGAGGCCAGGCUGGGAUUGGCUGUGUCCCAGUCCCAAUCCCAUUCCCAGUCCAUUUCCAUUCCCAGUCCCAGUCCCAUUCCCAUUCCCAGUCCAAUCCCAUUCCCAUCCCAUUCCCAAUCCCAUUCUCAAUCCCAUUCCCAGUCCAAUCCCAUUCCCAGUCCCAUUCCCAUCCCAAUCCCUUUCCCAAUCCCUUUCCCAAUCCCAUCUCAAUCCCAUUCCCAAUCCCAUCUCCAGUCCCAUUCCCAAUCCCAUUCCAAUCCCAUUCCCAUUCCCAGCCCCAUUCCCACUCCCAUUCCCAAUCCCAUCUCCAGUCCCAAUCCCAAUCCCAUUCCCAGUCCCAUUCCCAACCCCUUUCCCACAUCCCAGGACAUUCCCUGAUCCCAGAUUUGGUUUCCCCCUCCCUGGGAUCCCCUGGGAUACAUCAGGACUGGGUUCUGCCUGGAAGUUUGGGAAUUUUGGGAUUGAUUUCCCCCCUUUGGAGCUCUUUUCCCAGUGCCAGGUUGGGGUUGGGAUUCCAGGGAUUGGGGUUGGGAUUCCAGGCCUGAAUCCCAGCUGGAAUUCCUGGAAUUCCUGGGGCUUUGUCCUUGCAUGUCUGAGCUGGGAAUCUCCUUCCCCUUCCAGUUUUCCCUGCUUUUCCCCAAAAUCCUGGAAAAUCCCAGAGUUUCCCUCCAAGAACAAAUCCCUGCCAAACUCCUGGAAUCCACCAGGAUCCAGGCUGGGAAUGCCGAAUGCACUUUAUGGGGCCUGGGUUUAAUUCUCAUUUUAUUUAUGCAUUUAUUUAUUUAUUCCUCCCCUCCCUUUUCAUCCUGGAAAUCCCAAACCCUGCUGCUGCUCCCAUCCCGAGUUUGGGGCUGGGAUUCCCAGAAAUGGGAAACUGUGGAAACUCAGGGAAGCCCCAGAGGGGAUUUUUGUGGGAUUCAUCCCUGGGAAUGGCAGGAAAAGGUUUUGUGGGACAGUUUAGGGAUCCCAAAUCCAUUUUGAGGGAUCCCAAAUCCCCUUUCAAGGAUCCAAAUCCCAUUUUAGGGUUCCCGAAUCCCUUUUUAGGUGAUUUUCCAACCCUGCCCACACCGGUACAGCAAUGGAAUUCCCAAAUCCAAGUUUCCCUUGGAAAAGCAAAAAGAUUCCUUGGAGAACCAACAAGAAAUUCCCCCAAUCCCGUGGAUUCCAUCUUCGUUUUCCCUGAUUUUGGAGCCUUUCUGGGGGAUCCCAGAAUUUGGGGGUUUUUAUUUCAGAUCCAUUGGAGGAAUUCCUGCUGCUGGGAUUUAGGAGAGUUUCAGGAAUUCCAGCUUGGAAAACUGGGAAUGACAUUUGGGCUGUGGCCACUCCUGAUCCAUGAAUUGCUGGGAAUAAUCCCAUUAAUCCCAUUAUGUAUCCCAUUAAUCCCAUUUUCCCCAUUAAUCCCAUUAAUUAAAUUUAUCCCAUUUAUCCCAUAUAUUCAAUUUAUUCCAUUUAUCCCAUUAAUUAAAUUUUUCUCAUUUAUCCCAUUAAUCCCAUUAAUCCCAUUUAUUCCAAUUCCAAGCCAAUCCCAGUUUCUUUGAUCCCAGCUGGAAUUUUUGGGGGAUCUUCCCUGGUUUUUAGGAGCACCUGGAUCUCCUCUGGAUCUCCUCUGGAUCAAGGUUUGGGAUGAAAACCUCGGAAAAUCCAAGGAUCCAAAACCCUCUUGGAUCUCAGGGCCUGGGGGUCUUUCCUGGGGAUUUGUGGGAUUUGUGGGAUUUGGGAUUUCUGGGAAUGCCAGAAGCAGCUGAAUCCCUGGAAUAAUGGGAAUAAACUCCUGGAUUGGGCCUCGUGGAUUUUUGGGUCACUUUGGGACAAUCCCUUCACCCUUGGUUCCCAAAUCCCACCAGGCCAUUCCUGCUUGAUCCUCCCCUUCCCAGGCUUCCCAAAUUCCAAACCCAGCUGAAAAAUCUGGGAUGAUUCCUCUUCCCUGGGGGUUUCCUGUGGAUCCCUGCACAGGGCAGGGAACGAUCCAGAAGAAUCCCUCCCAAUUCCAGCUGGGAGCGGGGAUUUGCCUCCAUCCGUGGGAAUCUCUGGGAUUUCUCCUGGCUGGAAUCUGGGCUGGAGAAUGGGAGCUGGAUCCUGGCAGCUUUUCCCAAAAAUGAGGUUUAUCCUGGGAAAACAGGCUGGAAUUCCUUGGGAAGCCAGAAAAUUUCACUCCUGGAUCCCCUGGCUGAGGGAAAUCCCUGGAAAAUCUGGGAAAGGGACAACUCCCAGGAAAACCAGGAUUGGGAUUCCUGAUUUUACCUUCAGGGCUCUUGGAGCGAGGGGAAAAAAAUUCCCAGGAGUUUUCCUGAGCUUUGCAUCCCUCGGAUCCUCUGGAAUGGGGCAGGAGCAAAGCUGGAAUUCUGCCCCACCUCUGGAUUUUGGGAAUAAAUCCACCCAAACACCCAAAUCUGGAGGAUUUUCCCUGAGGUUUUCCAUACCCUCCCUUUCCCAGGAAAAUCCAGGGUGAUCCUGCAGAGCUUUUUGGUGCCCAUCCCAAAUUUUUGGGUGGAUUUGGGGAAUGUGGAGAAAACCCCUGGAGCACCAGGUAGUGGUUUUAACCCCAAAAUCGACAUUUUGGGAUUGCACAGCAAAGCCCCGGGGGGAUCAAACCCCACGGAUUCCUUGGGAUUUAUGGAAAAUGGGAUGAACCCUUUGGCUGUUCCCAGGGGGGAUCAAACCCCACGGAUUCCUUGGGAUUUAUGGAAAAUGGGAUGAACCCUUUGGCUGUUCCCUCCUCUCCUCCACGUCACAAAAUCCUCGCAUCCUGAAAAACCCCAAACCCCCUCACUUUGAGAUGGAUCCUGAGCUUUUGGUGGUGCCCUGAAACUGAGAUCCUGGAUUUUCCCUGGAUUCGGGAACUCGGGCAGUGCUGGAAAGGGGAGGAGCUCCUCAGAGCUGGGGAUUUGGGCACCUGGAAUUUAUUCCUGAUCAAAGGGAACCAGGGAAGGGUUGAGGUUAUUCCCGAAUAAAAUUCACUCUGGAAAAUC